rnacentral:rRNA from 1 species
UACGUAGGGGGCAAGCGUUGGUCCGGAAUCAUUGGGCGUAAAGCGCGUGUAGGCGGCUGAGUAAGUCUGCUCUGAAAGCCCGGGGCUCAACCCCGGGAGGCGGGUGGAUACUGCUCAGCUCGAGUCCGGAAGAGGAGUGUGGAAUUCCUGGUGUAGCGGUGAAAUGCGCAGAUACUGAGGAAGACACCAAUGGCGAAGGCAGCACUCUGGGACGGUACUGACGCUGAGACGCGAAAGCGUGGGGAGCAAACAGG